rnacentral:rRNA from 1 species
GCCAUACCACCCUGAACGCGCCCGAUUUCGCCUGAUCUCGGAAGCUAAGCAGGGUCGAGAAAGAGUCUUACUAGCUUAGGCUGGCCUCAAAAUUUUUUUUGU